UACGUAGGGGGCAAGCGUUGUCCGGAUUUAUUGGGCGUAAAGAGCGUGUAGGCGGCUGGGUAGGUCCGUUGUGAAAACUCGAGGCUCAACCUCGAGACGCCGAUGGAAACCCCCCAGCUAGAGUCCGGAAGAGGAGAGUGGAAUUCCUGGUGUAGCGGUGAAAUGCGUAGAUAUCGAGAGGAACACCUGCGGCGAAGGCGGGUUGCUGGGCCGACACUGACGCUGAUGCGCGAAAGCCAGGGGAGCGAACGGG
rnacentral:rRNA from 1 species